ensembl:ncRNA B0379.10 ncRNA
UCAUGACUGACCGUCUACAUGAUUGACGUCGGCUUGAAGUGACAGUCACCCAAUUACCAGGUCUCGUUAUCAUGCCAAAAUUGGUCACACACACCCUCACAUGAAACUGGUUACCGCAUUCGAUCUCUUAUUGGAGAGGGAGAA